GUCUAUAUUUUGAGCAUAUAUCUCUUGUUUUAUUUGCACUCUAAGAAAAGAUGAACGUUGCAGAUGCAGUACAAAUAAGCGAUAAUUUAAAUGCCUUUGUGGCGGGUUGAAGCGCGCGUGCUUCGUUUCGGAAUUCGUAUGAUAAAGUUGGGGGUUAGUUAAUGAUUAAUGCAAUUUCUGCCGGCGUUCAAAUAUGCAAUACAAGUUCGAACACGGUUGUAAAUAUAUUAGGUCAAAUAGUUGUAACUUGACUAGCUACUAUUUUCUAAGUCGAGAUUGCAGUGGACUGUGAUAAUCAAGCAAGACGACAUAAAAUGAAGGUGAUAUGUGCAGGAAUGUCAAAAUGUGGAACGAAAAGUAUGCAUUCUGCUUUAGAAGAACUCGGAUUCGAAGUGCAUGACUUCCCAGAAGCAUAUUACAAUUUUGAAUCGAAAUAUUUCAAAUUCAUUUCCAGAGGAUGGACCUCUAGGGAGUUCCAAGUAAUGUACAAUAAUGUCGAUGCUGUGGUGGACGCUCCAACUUAUUACUACUGGGAAGAAUUGAUGGAGGCUUUUCCGGAAGCAAAGGUAAUACUAAUGACUAGGGACGACGAAGAAAUUUAGUUUGAAAGUAUUAAAAAACAGCUGCUUUCAGUUAAUGGAUUGCAUAGUUACUACUAUCAACUUUUUUCGCCAACCUGGAGAAAAUUUUGGAAAUUUGCAAUAAAUUGUUGUAACCUUGCUUUUGGACGAGAACAAUAUAGUUGUAUGUACUUUGGAGAGAAAGACCCCCCUAAACUCCCUUACUGGCUGGCGUAUAAAAAGCACAUUGCUCAUGUAAUUCAGAGAUGCCCAGGAGAUCGUCUUCUAAUUUACAACUGCAAAAGUGGAUGGAAACCUCUGUGUAAAUUUCUUGGAAAGGACGUACCAAGAAAGGAUUUUCCCUGGAUAAACAAAAACUGUGAAUUGGCAAACAUGCUUUGGGAAAUGCCAAUGUUCAAGAAAGCUAAAAAUGAAAUGUUAACAAAUUCUACUCUGUUGUUUGCUGGUAUUAUAUUCGCUGGAUAUUACUUUGUAAAAUAAGGUUGGAAUUAAAUAAGCUGCAUGUGCUAUUAAUACAAGAGAGCUACGCCCAAAUA